rnacentral:lncRNA from 1 species
CUUAACUUUCAAAAGUGUGGAAGAUUGCCCGAGAAAUAGGAGGUUACAAAGAAACCGGGGCCUUGACCCGUCUAUCUUCAGCUCUCCUAUGCCGACCGCCUAGGUCGCCGUAGUCUAACCUUGCGGGUUGUUCUUCUUGGCCCUGUGUGGCCUUUUGGUUAGGUUGUCUUUUUUAGUUUGUUAUCUCGACCCUGCGUAGCUGUUUUCUUGGGCUUCCUGUUUCGGCCCUUGCUUGAGUUGACCGCUUUGCGGUGUUUUGUGUCCGGCGCCCUUUCACUCAAUGAGACGUCUGUGUUUUGUUGAGUGCAAGUUUUGUGGUGCCGGAUCUUGUAUAUUUGUUGG